AAUCUCUCAUUCGCGUGGGAUUUUUCUCAGCGGGGAGCGCUAGCAGCGCGCGAGGGAGGAAAACGGGGAAAUCUGGUAUCCUAUAUAUCUAUACAAGUCAUCCCCACUAAGUACGAUUUUCUGAGUUGUGGUACAGCCACGUCAUUAUUUAGUUCUCAGCCGUUCGAUUACAUCUCGAGGAUCCUCGUUGCGUCUCCGUAGCGCCCUCGGAGCGACCAAUGCCAUAGGUGGAUCCUGCCUCACGGCCGCAUCGCCUCCCGUGGCCCCGGCGCUGUAGUUGCCACUUCCCCUUCUCCCCGCGAUGUCGCACCCCUGUGCCACAGCUGCCUUCCCAUGCCCCCAUCACCCGCCUCCCAACCUCUUCGCCUCCUAGGUGUGUCCGCGUGUGCAUGAAGAAACGGAAGCGUCAGUUGGCGCACAAAGAAACUGAAUUAAACUGCCCGAAGAAAUUAGUCUCGUCUAUUCAUCUUCAAUUCUUCAUGUUUUCAAACGGUCGCUUGCAUUACUCCAGCCUUUCUUUCCCAUCUUAUUUAUGUAUGAUGAUAUACACAGCAGCUGGAUCGAUCUUCUCGGCCAACAAGCAGGUGCUGCUUCUCCUCCAUACAAGAACGUCCCUGGAUGGAUCUGCUCGGCCAGCAAGAAGCUUCUCCUCCAUACACAGAUCCCUGGAUUGAUCUGCUCGGUCAACAAAGGGGUUGUUCCACUUCCACUGCUUGCUGAUCUCAGAUGUUUCAGUGCUCUGGCAAUUUUUUCUACAACCAUCAAUGAUGCAAGUAGCAGCAACAGUUUUAUGGGCCCUGUCUCCUUUUAUUUUAUUUACCAAAUAUUUACCUGACAUCCUGACCUGAGUUUACAAUUUAAGUAAUAUAAUAGUAUGAUCUCAAAAUUCUUAAAUUAACUUCAAUAAGUUGUUGUUUAUGACCUCAAGCUUCUAUUGAUUCAUCUAUCAUGUUUAUCUUCCUCAUGUGUUGAGAAAGGGCAUAAUUAAUCAACUAUUCAUGAAUCCCAUUUCCUCAUAUGGGAGGUAACAUCAGGUCAGCCACUCAAUUUGCAUAACGUUAGUCCGGAAUCUUUGUAUUUUAGGUGACUCCUGUUUAUUUUUAGAUAUGAUAGUAAUCUCCAAACUUCCAUCAAUAAAACACAUGAAAGAUAAGGACUGUGUCAAGUAUUUUCAGUAUUGUUCUUCUCCUUGCCCCAUAGAUUUGGAAGUUAGCUUUUGAUCAAUAAUAAACUGAGUUUCGGAAUAGCAAGCUACAGUAUUUGAGAAAAAAAACAUUAAAAACCAUUCAACUCUUGCCUCUGCAACAGGUAACAAGCUUGCUCUUUGCCAUUAACCUUAUCCUAUUUUGUUCAUCGUGCUUAAAUAUGAUCCUAUUUUCUGUCAAGCACUAUGGUGGUGUUUUAUAUGAGAUCUGAAACUCUCAAUGUACUGAAAGUGAAGCAUUGCUAUUAUUAUAUUCCUUGCAAAAGUUGCUACAGUAUCAUCCAGAAUUUUAGACUGCAGUCUCUGUUGCGUCUGUUUCCCUUCUUUUCUUACUAUUUUUUUUAUCAUGCAAAGUGUACUUGAAUUUUUAAAUUUUAUUUUAAUACAAAUAUUCCGCAGCAAUGCGCGGGGUAUCAUCUAGUUAGUUUAACAUAAGGGCCCAUUUUUAAUUUUGGGGAUAAAAUUUAGGGUUUAUCUUGCAUAUAUCAGUUUUUUUGUACCUAUUUUCAGUUUAGGAAAUUCAAAAACAAAUUUUUGAGGAAGAUUAUAUGUAAUUUCUUGAUGAUGCUCUAAGUUACUGUGGUGUUUGAAUGGUUUCACCGAUAAAUUCGGAGUCAAUUUGACUCUUUACAUAUUCCAUUAUUUAGAGGCUGAUGUUUGCCAAAUGCCCAAGUUCUAAUGCAUCUUUAAGUCUAAAGGGACGUGCAUAAUUGAUUGAAUGGAGGUAGUGGAGAAUGUUUUGCUCUUGCUCGGAAUAUUGGGAAGGUUGAAUACUCACAUUGGAAAGAUCUGUAAUGUCAACAUGAGCAUGUUCUCCGUUAAGGUAUCCUUUAAUUAAGAUCGUAGAGACGAUAGAUCUUUCCAAUUCUCUAUUGCUCGUCAUCUAUUAUCUCUACGAUCUUUAUGAAAGGAUACCUUAAUGGAGCCUCGUCCUAGUGGACGUGCUACAAUUAGUGUCGUACAAACUACUAGCAAGCUAGCCUCGCUAAAGAAACACAUGGGGUGAUAUUCGCGUGUUGGCACAAUUUGCCGUCAAUAUGUAAACUCUUAAGAUAUGUCAUCGAAAAUAUGAUUGACUAUGGAUUCGAGCCAUAACACAUGGUUUCAUAAAAUUUGUACGAUUUUUUCGAUCUAAAUCGAAUCACUAGAAGAAAUAAUCUUAAGACUUAUAUUAUGCAUGGAGCACUCACCUGUCACUGGAAGAAAUAACCUUACCAGCUGAGUACUCCAUUCAUAACAUAAGCUCAGGGCCAGUUUAAAACAGAUAAAAUUGUAAAUGAUAGAUGAUGGAUGAUCUGUUUACCGGGUUUAGUUAAAUAUAUUAUAUAAUAUAAUUUAAAAUAGCUUAGAAAAGUAAUAUAUGUUAUCUUUUUAGAACUAUAUAGGCUACUAUUGGAGGUAUUGUAUUUUUGAAAACAUGGUAUGAAUAAUCCACAUGAUAAUCCAUAAUUCAGUUUUAGCUAUACCGAACUGGACUCGUGAAUGUAUCAUGGUCUGAAGACUCCAAUAUGGUCAUUGCUGCAUGGUGCAUGCUCCCAAUUUCCAAGAUCAGUCACUCCAUGAGAGAGAAGUUUGAAUGGUCUCGUCAUGCGAGAACUCUUGUGGUCAUGUAUAUGAAAAAUUUGUCGGUCUUGUUAGCACACCUUUGAGGAGUGAUCCUACUAAAUACAGGUCAGGGAUCGAUCAUAUAUAGGAACCUAUUCACAAAACGACUUGCAACAUUUUUUUUUGUUUGCUUGAUAACUGAUAUUUUAAUCUCAGUUGCUUGUUUAUGCCAAAUGUCGUGACCUAAACAGCUAACAGGUUUUAACAUCAAAAGAGACUCGGGUUAAUUGUUAUUCUCUCUGAUCCGUGUUGAUCGCAAGCCCCAUUUUGUGUGAUGUGGGUUUGGUGCUCUACUGCUUGAAUAUUAAUUAGAUCCAUGCUUUACACGAUAAAAGCGUCCAUACAUAUGGAGUUGUACUAAAAAAAGUAAUUAGUCUUAACACUUUGUAUCACAGAAUAUAUCUUGGCUGCUGGUCAUACCUGUAAUCAUAAGCAGAGGUUGUUACGUACCUCUUGCGUGGGGACAAUGGGGCCAUUUCUUUCUGUCUCUUUGGACUAAAAUACACCCAAAUGCAUGAGUUUAUGUUAUCUUUAUCCAAUGUAAUACUUGUCAAACCCAGAUAUGUUAAUGGGCGAAAGAGCAUAUCAAAUUAAACAAGGAACCAUGGUAUAUACCUUUAAUUUUAUAGUUAUGAUUGACACAUCCGUUAUACAAUGAGAUGUGUUAGCAAGACAUCAAGGGACUUGACGUAGAAUUUUGAUUGGAAUUUUUUUUAUUAUCGAGAGCAUAUAUAGCGUUGAUCUUUUUUUUAAAAAAAGAAAGAAGCGCACUGAUUAUUGGAAGAACAAACACUAUAUUGAAAAUUUGCCGUACUUUGUUUUGAGCUUGUUUUAGCGAGGGUAUGUCCAGUUAAUAGCUGUCUGGUUAUAUUUAAUCGUAUCUUGCAUAUUAAUUAGAGCAACUAAGUAUGUUUACCAGAGGGUUAUUAAAGCAGAAUCAAGUAGGCUAACUCUUCCCAUCAGUUAGUUCGCAGGUCUGAUGAUGCCGGCUUAAUUAACGCCGUGAAGGCUGUUUUUAAAAAAGAGAAGUCUAAACACGAUUUCAUAACUUAUCGGUAUGGCAGAUGGCCGUACAAGAGGGGGCAAUUUUUCUUGUGCAAUUUGAGCUUUUCAGGCAGGCGGUUGUUGAAUACAAGUGUCUAAUCUUGACUCGCUAACCCAACAGCAGCAGCUUAAUGAUGCGUAUUAGGUUAUUGCUCCUGAAUAUUGUAAUGCCGAGGGGCCUGGCAAUUCUGGAAGCUGAUGCGUUCUCACUUCAUAAUCUAUGCGUGCAUAAAUAGGAAGGUACCGACAUGUUCUUGCUCCUCUUAAGCAUUCUGAAAUUUGUAAGACGAAGACCAGAUAGAGAGCCUUUCCAUAAUUGUACGAUGUCCAUACGAUGGCUGCAGCUCUCCUCCUAUCUCAUUUUGACUUCACGUCUACUACAGUAUUAUUAGUAAAAGUGAUCGACAAGCCGAAGCCAAUUCAGUCAAGGAGUGGUUACUGGUUAGUGCCAACAGACUCAGAUUUACAUCGCUUUUUCAAAAAGAUUGUGCAUAAGACAUCAUUUCAUAGGACCAAUAUGCAUGAGAACAAUGCACCUAAAAAAAACUCCAAACAAAGGCAGCCAGGUUUGCUUCCAAUGUACAUGUAAUAAGGGGAUGCUAAAAGGUUUGGACACGCAUUCAGUUAAUCAGAUUGCUCUCGGUGCUGCAAGGGCUGUCUGCACAAGUACAAACAUGAAAGCAUUUAAUCCUUUCAUAGGUUAAUCAGAUUGUCUUAGAUGUUGAAUGUUAUCGCUGAUUCUGCAAGAGCUCUGUCUGCAAGCACAAAAA